rnacentral:rRNA from 1 species
GUAGGUGGCAAGCGUUGUCCGGAAUUAUUGGGCGUAAAGCGCGCGCAGGCGGUUCUUUAAGUCUGAUGUGAAAGCCCACGGCUCAACCGUGGAGGGUCAUUGGAAACUGGAGAACUUGAGUACAGGAGAGGAAAGCGGAAUUCCACGUGUAGCGGUGAAAUGCGUAGGGAUGUGGAGGAACACCAGUGGCGAAGGCGGCUUUCUGGUCUGUAACUGACGCUGAGGCGCGAAAGCGUGGGGAGCAAACAGGGAUUAGAUACCCUGGUAGUCCACGCCGUAAACGAUGAGUGCUAAGUGUUAGGGGGUUUCCGCCCCCUUAGUGCUGCAGCUAACGCAUUAAGCACUCCGCCUGGGGAGUACGGCCGCAAGGCUG